GAUGAAGAACGUAGCGAAAUGCGAUAAGUAAUGUGAAUUGCAGAAUUCAGUGAAUCAUCGAAUCUUUGAACGCACAUUGCGCCCGCCGGUAUUCCGGCGGGCAUGCCUGUUCGAGCGUCAUUGCUGCCCUCAAGCACGGCUUGUGUGUUGGGCCUCCGUCCUCCUCCCGGGGGACGGGCCCGAAAGGCAGCGGCGGCACCGCGUCCGGUCCUCGAGCGUAUGGGGCUUCGUCACCCGCUCUUGUAGGCCCGGCCGGCGCUUGCCGACACAUCAAUCUUUUUUCCAGGUUGACCUCGGAUCAGGUAGGGAUACCCGCUGAACUUAAGCAUAUCAAUAAGCGGAGGA
rnacentral:misc_RNA from 1 species